rnacentral:rRNA from 1 species
UACCCGCAGCUCAAGUGGUGGUCCUUAUUAUUGGGCCUAAAGCGUCCGUAGCAGGCUUGUUAGAUGCCUGGGUAAAUCGAUGCGCUUAACGCAUCGAAUUCCGGGUAGACCGGCAAGCUCGAGACCGGGAGAGGCGUGAGCUACUCAAGGGGUAGGGGUAAAAUCCUGUAAUCCUUUGGGGAGGACCAGUGGCGAAGGCGUCACGCUAGAACGGCUCUGACUGUGAGGGACGAAGCCCUGGGGCGCAAACCGG